GGCGGCGGCGGCCAGGAGGUGCUCCGGCGGGUGCUCGGGUCGGGCUCCCAGGUCCGGUUCCUGGCGCUGUCG
rnacentral:tRNA from 1 species